CACACACAAACACUCUGGGAGAGGGAGAGGAGGUCAACAUAACUCUUCUCUCAAGAAUGCAGCAGAAGUUUAUGUUGCCGUCGGAGAGGGAGAGAGGCAUCUUGUGUGAGCUCAGAUGUGCAAUUAUGCUUUUCAGCACACAGACAAAAAAAGGGCCCUUUUCCUGGGAACGUUCCUCCCGGCAGUGUUUCUCCAAGCAGCCGCAGGAGUAGGACAACGUUUGCACUGACGGGCAAACGUCAAAUUGUCACUCGGUACGUCUAUCACCAAAAUGCAUGAAAACUAAGAGGAAGACAAGGCCUCCCAGCGAUCCCAAACAUCCGCUCGAGUCCAGUAAAUUCCUCCAAUCUGUGAUUCAUCUCCGUGUUGACGGACGAGACGUGCGAGAGAGACAAAGACACCUGUGAAGGGAGGAGCUGUAGAGAUUCAAGGCAUGACUAUCGUUACAGUUGUUUCGCAUGACUGAAAAUGUGUGUGUGUGUGUGUGGGGGGGGGGUGCUUGGACAGAUUAGAUAAAUGGAAAUGGAGAGUGAGAUGUUGGUCUAUCACUGUGCUCACUUUUAUCCUGAAAAGAAUGACUGUUUGUAUGUCAUAAUAGGGGCCGCUGUGCCCCGGUACACAGUAAAGAACCCAGUCGGCCAGCAGUGUUUCAUUAACAUCAAAGAACUGAGGUGCACUGCAGUUUCAACUUGUGUUGUACAACAAAUCAGCAAUUAGCUCAUUCUUGUACUUUGGCAUCAUCAUCAUCAUCAUCAUCAUCAUCCACUCUGGUUUAAUUUAACUUACGUAAGAAUGUCCCCUCACUGCAGCAGGCCUGUUUUGUUUCUUCAUCCCCUGCAGUAUUUACACGGUUACGAGAGUGUGUUUACGACAUGGCGGCGAUGAUCACUCACAAUUAAAGAUCGUGACCCUUUCCUGAAGGCAGUGAUGCACAGAACGACAUUAAAGCAAACUUUUAUUUGGGAACUAUCUUAAUGGAACAAAAGCAUUUAAAGGUAUUAUCUAAUGUUUUACUGGAUCAGUAUAACUACCAAUAUACCAGCAGGGGUCCUGCUGCUCAUCAUCACUUUCUUCUUUGUUAACCUGAAUUGCUGCACAGAUUUUAAGCUUUUGAAACAUGCUGAAGAAUUCCAACACUCCCCAAGCUCUCCAAGCUUUGAACAAGCGUUCGAGGUUCAGGCACCAAUAAUCUCUAAUGCUCCUUCCCCACAGCAAACGAUUUAAACUGUCAUUGCAGAAAAAGAACAGAUGUAACUAAUAAUAUUAAUGAUAGCUGCAUUCCAUUGAACUGUGCCAGUAAGUCAUGCCAGCAUGGGAUAGCAUGCACAGUAUGAGGGCCCUGGCACUGCAAUACCUGGAUGGAAUGCAGCCAUAAUUGUUCCCCGUAAGAAACAUUCACCAGCAGUAUAAAUCUAUAUAUAAAAAGAUAAAACAUCCAUUCUGACAGCAUAACAGCACAGUCGCAGCAAGGCAUCACUGUAGCUCGUCUUGCUUUAAAAAUGAGUUGAUUAUAACUAAAAUGUUGUCAUCAGUAGUGGAGCGACAGAUUUUCGUGAGCCACUCGGAGGUUCUCAGAGAAGAUCCUGUUCCUCACUCGCUAACACAGAGAUUGCAGGUCUUUCGUCUCUUUGGGUGAAGUUCCCGUUUAUUAGUUGUGUACACUUUAUAAAACACAACUGUGUGUGCUUUGGUUCCUGAUCUCACUGUGCGUCUUGACCAGCGGUGAAAAACGUGCCAUCUCGCCGUCACACACGCAUCAUUACCUACCAUGUGUAGACUCCCUGUCACACUAACACACGCUGUGUUCAAUGCAAUACAUCUCUACAUUAAAGUUCUCCAAGGAAACAUGAAGGGCCUUUUCUCCGUUUCAAACCCUCUCAUGGAUUUUGUCGGACAGGACUACGUCAAAAUCAUAAAAAGAAGUUUUUGCGACCUUCUGAUCCAAUUGAACCGGCAAAGGGAAAAGACCACAAUAUUUAUUAUUUUCUAUUAUAGUUUUUACCUUUUAUUCUUUAACCCAUUGAACAUUUGGCAUGAAAAAAAAAAUGGACAGACUUUUAAUGUUUACAAUAUUCAUUAGCUACUUCCUUGUUAAUGCAAGGUCAAAAUUGAGGACGAUGAUUUAUGAUUGUUUGUAUUUUUUGUAUGUUACUUUGGUUGUAACCCUGUCCUGUGGCCUGACUGACUGUUAUUGCACUCAAACCUUUAAUAUUAACAAAUGAUUGACCUCAACUGACAACAAGGUGGCAAUGACUUCAAGUAAAUUGACAUUGAUAAGUUGUAACCUAUGAUGCAAAAUCUCGGUGAUCUACAGUGAUCAACAGUGACAUCAUCUAAAAGCUAGUUUUAGAUGAUGUCUCCCUAGCAGACAGGAAAUUGGAGGCAGCCAAAACAGAUUUCUAAUGUUAAAGAUGAUGGAUUAAAAAUGUAAGGUUUCUUAAUCUUGUAUCUUGUGAAAACUGCUUUAAAUAUACCCUUUAAUCAAUUUGUUGAAAUAUUAACUACCUUGCAUGAGUCCAUGCUGUUGAGUUUUGUCACUACAAUUAUCAUGUGUUUAAAUGAAGUCAGUUCAUUAUUGGAGGCAGAUGUCAUUCAUCUGACACUGCCAAUUGUCAGUCUCCUCCAAAGAAAGUCAGAAGUGAUGCAAUCUGACUCCAGGCCAUCUGUCCGUGCCAGAAGAAAUGAUCGAGGGAGCGGUGAUCAAUUAUUUCUCUGCUUAUGAUCUACAAGGCAGCACUCUUCCCUUUCCAUAAGCAUAUGUAACCCCUGUCUUUCCUUUGUACUCUGGACGCACGUCUUAUGUUCUUCCAAAUGUAUCAGGUCUCCCGUGGUUGGGUCUGCGUGUUGUGUCGUGUGUCGUGUGUCUGUCUUUCUGAUGUCUCCCCAAGGCCUCAUGAGCAGCAGAUGGGUACAGCGGGGUCCGCCAGCCUUUUUGAGCUCCAUAACCAAGAUCAUGUGAUGAUGUGACACCCAAGGGACGACAAGGGGAGAAACUGAUCUCAUCCCUUUUCCAUAUAAGUCACCUCCCUUGUUUAAGCUGUGUAAGUCGGGGGGAAAAAACAGAUGCUGAAGCAAUUUAUAGUGGAGUUUGAGAAGAAUUAAAGAUGGGAAUCUGGCUGCACCCCUGAGCCCUACAGUCCCACAUUGCCAGGCCUGUCUCCACACUGCAGUGGCACUGUGCCAGCAGAAAGGGCUGGCAGAACCCAUUACCAGUAUUAUUACAAGUGGAUACACAAUGAGCUCUCUUACAGAUCAUUUUCAUAACAAUUCUGCAACUUUAAGACUAACAUUUUCCGUAUUUCUCAUAAUGUACCACUGAGCCAAAACAGACCAGUGCUACUACACACAGUUUAACACCACUGCCAGAUGUCAAGUCACAUCCUUAACUACAGCCCUACGAUCUGACCUGAUUCCGAGUAUUUAGGUAGUGGCAUAUUUCAGUUGUCUGCACUGGCCACAACUUUUACUAAUCGUUUAUAUCUGCAGUUGACCUUUGAGCCACAUGAGGGAGCCUGAAUGUUUGUACUGUUUGUCUACUACAGCCUGCAUUGAAUUAUUAUUAUUAUUUAUAUGUGUGUGUGUGGAUAAGAUUUGGUCCGUAAAUUGUUCAGUACAAAUUGCAUUGAAAUUCUCAUAAAAAAAGGUUUAACGUUGCAUCCUAAUUGCCUAUGGUUAUCAACAUAGCACCAAACAACUACACACAGUGGAGGGAUGCCUAUCUGAGCAGGUAUUAAAGUUCAAUUAAAGGUAAUUGAAGCUAGCACCCGCUCUCGUGUUCGCCCUGCGGGCAAACGCCCCGUUGGCCCGCUGAGAGCCACGCGGAGGCAACCGUUACGCUCUAUUGAGUUACAAUUUAGCAACUUUUAAGGAAUUAGUCAAAUACAAAUAAGGGUCAUGUAUAGCUAACACAUGCAGGUCCUUUCCAUCAGCACAUGGUCACUCUUUCAUUUUCCAACUCCAACUCCUCCAGCGCCAGCCCCCCCCCUCCCCCCACCCUCAGUGAGGGGCCUUGGCCUUAGCUUAUCCUCUCCUCCUUCAUUUGGCUACCACCCAUGUGCCCACAUGAGGUCAUUCAAUCUUGGGAUUCUGUUUGGCAUUGCCUCGCGUUAAUAUGCCUCUGAUUACAGUUUUGAUGUGACUGAUGGAGCAGAGUUGGCGUGCGAGCUGCCGCCAUCUUCUUCCAACUGCGUCAGCUGGUCCUCCGCCCCCCCCCCGCGGCAAGGAGACAUUUACCUGACAGGCGAAUCACGACGACAACCUUGCAAAGCUUUCACUCAACUACCGAUCUACUUAACACCGCCUAUCCCACAUACUAUGGAUAUGUUUUUUUUCGCCACCAGCCUAUGAUGGCCAGACCCAGCGAUCACACCGCUGAUGAAAUGGUCUGCCCCACCCCAUAAAAGCAGUCUGACUGUGAAGAUUAAUUAAGCCAGGGAAGAUGGGGGAGCAAGAAGGGGGAGUUAAAGCGUGGGCUUGCAUGACUUUCGACUUUACAGGCAGCCAGAAAAGCUCUGUUUACACAGGGGCAACAGAAAAAACAUACAUGUGCAUUGACAAGGGGGACUUUCGUGUGCCGUGAUGUUGUGUUAAUGAGAAAAACAAGCGGCGCCGUGUGUGAAAAAGCUGCAUGUCAAGUGAGGCACCUUCAGCAGCUGUGAAUUUAAAACAUAAAUCCAAACACAUGGUGCACUUGAACACGAACACAGAGACACACUAACCACACGUCGGCACAAGAAACAAGUGACCGAGUUCUGUGCAGUUUUGUGGGCAAUUAAGUGACUCACUCACACAGCUCAAGUGUUGACACAUUCUGGCUAAAGGGGAAAGGACUUAAGUUAGGCAGAAAAGGUCACGUGCACACCUGCACACAUCAUCGUAGCAGCUCUUUUCACUCAACCUUCCCUACUGGUCAACCUCCAACUAAAGGAUUGGACUUAAAGGUCGUUGAACAGAGUGCCUUUCUGUGGAGACGAUGGAGGUGAGCGUAUUAUCGGCUGAAGAAGCGCUCUGCGUGCAAAGUCUACAUUCAUCAUUGUCAGUGGCCUUGUGUUGUCUGGCCAACCCCCCAAAACGCACGAGUAUGAACCAUUGACUCCUGUAAAAGGGGUUUCCACUUAUUCAUGGCUCAAUAAAAAGGGCCAAUGCACUUAGUGUGCUGUUAAUUACCCCACUUCAAGUGAAGCAAAACCCCUGUUAACUUAACAUAAUGGACUCUGUCACCACUUGUUCGGAGUAAACGAUGGGCUUGUUUUCAACGCAAGGGUUUUACAAAGAUCACUUGGUCUGUAUGAAAAGUACUGGAACAAAUGCAAACUCUUCUGUAUUAUUCUUUUUUUCAACAUUGACUUUGCAUGUUGGAGCAUUUCAUUCAAGGGUUAAUAGUAAUUUCUUUCACUCAGCCUUGAUCCCCACUUGGCAAACCGAGGUACUGUAAGAUCAAAUUCACUUGAGAGGGCCCCACAAACCAAACAAAAGACACAAAGUCACCAUACAAAAGUUAUUAUGUACAUCCCACACAGGCCAGUAUCCAUUUCUAAUAAUACACCCAUGAAAUAUCCAUACGAUGACAAUGUUAACACGCAAAUACUUAUCAUGCAAUGUCGUUGUUUCACCACAGUUAUCAUAACUCAUCAUGUUGGGUGAUGGUAAAUGUCUGGGUCAAUUUUACUGCAGCAAAUAAUCGGCAUGUCAGCCUCCAAUCCGGUGAUCACCAGCUAUUGUGAUUCAUCGUCUUGAAACAUGAAUGUGUGUAGUUUUGUGCCCAUUAAUCUAGCAGUCAAAAUGGCCCCGGGGCCCCACCAUCCUGGCUAAAAGAGAGGAAUUAUCCUCUUUCGCAAAUUAAAAGGUAAGCGAUGUGGAAAUGGUCUGACUCAUCUUUUUGAGGUCACAUAAAUACACAAAAACUAUAGUGGCCAGAGGACUGGAAGUGUGCGUGAGGCUGAAAAUAUCCGGCCCCUAGCCUGCUCAAAAAUGGUACACUUCUCUCAAGGGCAGCUGGCCUCAAUGUUUAUUGGUCUUUUCAGAGACAAAUGUGUUUGUGCUUGUGUGCAUGAGUGUGUGUAUCCAUCCUUUGUGAUUUUCCACAUGCCUUUGAAACAGAUAUUAUUGGUAUAGUGAAGAAUCAAGCGGAUGGAGACUUGGUUUCUCCUUAGUUUGAAAGCAAAGUGAGUGAUGUAGCAGCUAGCAAGCCAAAACUAGAGCACAAAAAAGCUCGAGUCAAAUUCAAUUACCUUAAGUGGACCGGAUUCAAAAUGAGCAGGUCUGUUUCAAAUUGGGUUUUCAACUCACAAAACAGCCAUUUUACUUCUCUAAAUGUAAUGUGAGCUCAAAGGCAGUGCCUCAGAGAUUAAGACCUUUACAGACAAAACAAGCCAUCAACAGUUAAUGAAUAUGAGUCAACGCAGCAGUGUCACUGUAGAUGGCAAAUUAUCACCAACUGUCAAUGCUCUACUUUCCUUGGGUCAGGAGUUCUUGGGAUCGCUGUUGUGUUGGAAAGUCGCCGGGGUUACGUUUCACUUUGAACUCCAGAAAAAAAGCCACUGUUCAUUGUCAUGCAUGGACAGAAACUUCUGGAAAUCCUCAUUUUUCAGCUUCAACCAGAUCUUUCAGUAGCCAUUACAGUAAAAAUAUUUCCUGUUGGGGGCAAAAGAAACCCAGACAGCCAUGUGUCCAACAGCCAGGCCAAAAGCAAUAACCGCAUGCUAUUCAUCUGCCGGCUCCAACAGAGAAGACACGAGAAACUUCUCCCGCAGGCAAACCCGUAUCUCCGGCCAGGACAUCGGUCCAAUCUGUUAGAGAAUCAAUCUUUGUCAAUGAAGAUCUUACCUUUACGGUGAGUGAGUGCAGGAGAGGGAGAGAGGGGGGAGGUAAAUUACAUAAUGACAUCAAGGACCAGAGUGUUUGUGGGACCCAGUUUGACAAGUAGUAAGCAGACGCGAUCUGAGAACCAUUAUGCACUCUGACAGGUCCAAAUGAAUGGAGCAUUUCUCUAAUGUGGAACAGGGAUGGGGGGGCCUCGGAUACUUCAGAUGUUUCAAAUUCAGCAAAACAGUGACCCCCCCCCCCCCCCCAGAGAUCUGCGAAAAUAAAUCCCCAGUCACACACUCCGACCACAGGAAAGAGAAAAAUGGGCCCCGUCUACAAAAGGCCGCUCGCUUUCUCACCAGCACGUGAGACAAAGUAGAAAAGUAUGCGGCGCUCUGCUUGCAUUAUGUUUUAGUGUGCGUUUCAUGUUCUUUUUUUGUGUGUCUGGAUUGAUGUGUGUGUGAAAUAUACUGGUCGUCCCCACACUCGAUGCAUACUGGAUGUGAAUCUUGAGCGUCCUGGUUUGUUCUAAAGAAAUUGUGCGCGUGCUUGUUUGCACAUGAUUUUGUGCCAACUAAUUACCCGAAAGAGUAGUUGCAACCCGGCAAUGUGUUUUCUCCACUUUCCUCUCCCGCUGCUUGUUCUCUGUAUCGUCUCCCACUGUCACUCCGCCCACUGGGCCACCGUCUGUGGCCCUCAGCCGUGAGGCUCCGCACUGCAGGGGCAGCCUGGCUUCAUGAGAAUCCCGCUUCGAGCUAAAAGGUUACAUGAUUGAAUGCCAACGCCGGCCGGUGGAGGUGCAAUAACUUUUAAUAAUAGUCGAGGAAAGCACACACAUUUCAUCCGUGACUACGAAAGAUACACGUUUUCUCCUGCAGACAUUUAGAAACACUUCUAGAAUGACAGUAAUCUAAAAUCAGUUGCUGCUUAAAUUGGGGUUUGAGACAAAAGUAUAUAGAGAACAUUCAAUUUCAAUUUCUAUUCUGCAGUUUUGUUUUAUGCUGACAAAUAUCUGAAAGAAGCUAUGUUUCAUUUGAAACAUUCCUGUUUUUACUGUCAAAUAAGCCAAAGUGCCCAAAAAAUACCACAAAAGUCCCUGUAAUUUGCAUUGUGGGCAUGGUGGAGAGAGGGAAAUAAACUGUUGACUCAUCAAUGCUUCUUUAUCUGGGCUUCAUUACCUCGAUGGGGGAUUUGAUUUGAAUGGUUUAUCGUAUGCUCUUAAUGUUUUUAUUGUCCUCGUUGUCCGUGCGAAAUGGGAACUUUGUCUUCCAAACUCGCGCGUGUUACCCCGCGUCGUUCGCUCUGUGAGCGUGCGUGCACAGAAAAGGAAGCUGUAAAACCCUGAAGGGCUUCUUUCCUCCCCUCCGACACAUUUCUCUUUGGGCGGUGCUUUUUCAUCCCUCUGAGCAGGAGGCAACGGCAGCGGCAGGAGGAGGCUGAUGGAGAAGGCCACCUGAACAAACCCAGCGUGAAAGCAGCCAGCCAGUUCCAGCCAGAUUUAUGGCUCUCCACGCCUCUUUUCCCACAAAGAGGCCCCUCUCUGGAGCUUCUGGAUGUAUCGGACCUCGUCUAUUCCUUUUUGUCACUUCUGUCUAGCUCCACUUCCUUCCCUUUACUGUCCCAUUUGUCUUUUUUUAUGUCCAUCUAUCUUUUCUCUUUUUUUUUUAGUCUUGGUAUCUCUUUCUCCCCCUCCUUUUCUCCCAGACAUCCUGGCCAGCUGUUCGUCCAGACAUGGUGUCUACAGCUGUCUGUGCAAAGCUCGGUUGCACCUCCAGACGCAGGCCGCAAGCCUGCAGCUUGGAGCUCUUCCCCGACACCUCUGUCUCCUCUCUUUGCUGCAUCCAUGACCUCAACAUGACCUUGACAGCACAACUAUAUGUUUGCAAGACUACCUGUACUAUACUCUUGAAGAGGUAGUGCCGUAGAAAGUGUACUGAACAAAAAUAGUGCAAUGCAUGGUUUUAGACAGAAGCACAAUAUAUUCUACAAAUAGAAACAAGCUUUGUUGUAAAGUAAACAUGUAAUGUGAAAAAA